UACAGAGGGUGCGAGCGUUGUCCGGAAUCACUGGGCGUAAAGGGCGCGUAGGUGGUGGCUUAAGCGUGCGGUGAAAGCUCGGGGGCUCAACCCCGAGUCGGCCGUGCGAACUGGGCUCACUGGAGCAUAGUAGAGGCAGGUGGAAUUCCGGGUGUAGGCGGUGGAAUGCGUAGAGAUCCGGAAGAACACCGGUGGCGAAGGCGGCCUGCUGGG
rnacentral:rRNA from 1 species